GGGUGGAGGGUGGCAUCUUGUGGUUGACAUGACAGUCCUGGGGUUGGGGGAGGAAUGCAGGAGGGCUGGUAACCAGUCCAGUCCUGGAUAUGCUUUGAAAGAACCAUAUGUAGGAUGAGAAUGGCUGUUUCCCAGGAGGCAUGGUGGCUCCAUGGCUUUUGUCCCGAGCAGUCCGGGCAACUGGAGGUGCCAAGUGCUGAGAGGGAGAAGAUUGUAGGGGAAACGCGUUGUUAAAUGAUUUGAUAAUUCAAUAAGUAUGAAGCAUGAAUAAAGGUCAGACACUUUUCUAAUUUACAUCAUUUUGUCUUCCAUAUGACAUUUUCCCCCUGGUCCUUGCUUCCUGGGCUUCCGCCUUUGUGUGUGAUAAGUCGCUGUUGCCUGUCUGUCUUGUGGCGCCCUGACAGUAUCAGGUGUGCUCAUAGGAAGAGCCGCACGUGGGCACCGCGGCAGCGAUGUUAGCGUGCAAAUGGGGUCUCUGUUGAUGCCCUCCUGUAGUACUAAGGAUCUAAGACUAUUUUUUCAUAAAAUCUAAAACAUUUUUUUUUCAUAAGUGCAUUUCUACAGGGAAAAAAAUGUUCUCACCCUAUCAUGCUUCUAAGUCCUGGCCAUCAUUUUGCAGCACUGGAGACAAAUUCUCUCCUCUCCUCCUGUUCUCAGAUGACUGAAAAUAGAAGUGUUUUCUAGAUUCUGUGGUUUCAAUUCAAACCCAUGUCACUUUUUUUUAGCUUAUUUUGGAAUAAUUAUAGAUUCACAGGAAGUUACAAAAAAAGCUGUACAGGGAAUCCGUUACGCACACUGCACCCAGCCUUCCCUGCCUGGGGUAUAGAAUAUUCCGUCUGUGGUUGGGAUGCUUAGAAAGUAAAUACUGAAAGGAAUUCCUUUUAAGUACCAAAUUAGGAUGCUUUGAGAUAUUUUAAAGAUCUGAUCACAUUUUUUUCCCUGAGAAACACUACGUAUCUGUCACAGGUAUCUGUGGGCCGGGAAGCAGCUGUGGCACAGUGAGUGCCUCCACAAUGUAGGUGGUCCUCCUGAGGGUGUGCCCGUGCCCUGCUCUCCCUCCCAUGUCAGUGACCUGCCCACUCCCACUGUGACUGGAGGCUUCAUAACUCCGAUGCCUCCAGCAGCUCUCUCCAUCUCGGAAUCCCCAGGAGGAGAGUCUGGGGGCAAAUGGAGUAAGGGGCUCAGCCACUUCCUUCUGCAGGUUGCAGAGACUAGCCCUUGGCCAGUUCCAUCCUGGUGGGGCUCUGUUACCCACAGUGGCCCUCAGCCCCCUAACCACAGCGGGAGUCAGUGGUCACACGAGGCUGUUGAGGAGACCCCCAGGGAGACGCCAAGAGUGGCAGCCCUGAGACCCACUUCCUGAGCUCAGGGGCUGGGGUCGUGUUUGAGCUCCCAUCCCGUCCGAGACUGUUGUCACUCGUCAGGCAGUUCGUAUGCUGCUGGAUGGAAGGGAGCGUAGCAACUUGAUGAGUUUGGGUCACCCCACCCCUUACGUGUUGGCUCGUGUCCCGCGAAACGAUGAAUACGCUCCCUGUCAUGUCCAGUUAUGUACAUACUGUGGAUGCGUGCAGGUCAGGAGGUGGUUCCCGCCUGCCAUGGGCAAGGACAAGCAGGCAUUCCCUCCCACUCGGUGGACAAGGACUCCAGAGUCAGUGCUCCCUGAUUCUGGUGUCAGCCCAUGCAUACCCUGGCUGGUUCUGCGUCUACACUCAGGUCUGUCUUUAGGGGACCUGUUUUACAGCUUGUUUUUCUUUUAAAGAUUUAUUUAUUUAUUUGAAAGUCAGAGUUACAGUGAGAGGUGGAGAGAGAGAAAGAGAGAAAGAGAUAUCUUCCGCCUUCUGGGUCACUCAGAUGGUUGCAAUGGCCAGGGCUGAGCCAGGGCAAAGCCAGGAGCUUCAUCCAGGUCACGUAUGUGGACAGCAGGGGCCUGAGCAGUUGGGCCACCUCCUGCAGCUUUCCCAUGCCAUCAGCAGGGGGCUGGAUGGGAAAUGGAGCAGCCAGGAUUUGGACCAGUAUCCAUAUGGGAUAUCGUGUCUCAGACAUAGGCUUUGCCUACUAUGCUUCUAUUCUUUUAUUUAAAACUUAUCUCAGGGCUGGCACUGUGGCACAGUAGGUUAAUCCUCCACCUGCGGCACUGGCAUCUCAUAUGGGCGCAGGUUCUAGUCCCGGCUGCUCCACCUCUGAUUCAGCUCUCUGCUAUGGCCUGGAAAAGCAGUGGAAGAUGGCCCAAGUCCUAGGGCCCCUGCACCCAUGUGGGAGAUCCAGAAGAAACUCUUGGCUUCGGAUUGGCCCAGUUAACAGCCGUUGCAGCCAUUUUGGGAAUGAACCAGAGGAUGGAAGACCUCUCUCUCUCUCUCUGUCUCUCCCUCUCAGUAACUCUACCUCUCAAAUAAAUAAAUAAAUAAAUAAAAUCUUUAAAAAGAAAGCUGCUCUCUAUAUUGAAUGUGGAUUUAUUGUAGGUAUAUUUAUAGAUUUUAAAAAUAAUUUAUAAUUCAUCCUGACAACACCUAUAAAUUAGAUUAUUUAGGCCAUUUACAUUUAAUGUGAUUCUUAAUAAGCUUGGAUUUGGGUCUUUCACUUUAUUUCUUUGUUUCUUGUUUAUAUAUCUUAGUGUUUGCUUGGUAUGCCAUUUUCUAUUUUUUUACUUUAAACUUAGCUGUAUCACUAUAUUUAGAGUGGGUUUAUUGUAGGGAGUGCAUAGUUGGAUUUUUAAAUAGUGUAUCUAUGAUAACUAGAUCUGUGAUGUCUGUUGUAGGUAUCUAUAUCUUAUAUCUAUCAUGCCUCGUACAUAUGUGAUGAUUAGACAGAAGUUCCAGCACCGUGUGCGUUACCAGCGCAUGCUGGCAGCCACAGCAUAAGCAGGGAGUCUUUACCGAAGGGGCUGUGGUGCUUUGGGAAUCUGUGUUCCAGUGAGAAAGGAAGGAGUGCUUCCCAGUAGACUGAAAGGCAAGAAGGCGUCCUGUAAUCCUCACAGCAGCUCCUGAAGAAACCACACAGAGAAAUACAGUUAAAGUACACGGUGUGCACAGAAUGGCAUAUGCAACAGCCAGAGCAUUCCUCCAGAAGAAGACAAAGCAGCCAGCCCCAGUACACAGAGUGAACACGCAGAGGACAGACCCAGAAACACAGAUGCACACACAGAGGACAGACCCAGAAACACAGAUGCACACACAGAGUGAGACCCAGUAACACAGAGUGCACACGCGGAGGAGAGACCCAGUAACACAGAUGCACACGCAGAGGAGAGACCCAGUAACACAGAUGCACACACAGAGGAGAGACCCAGUAACACAGAUGCACACACAGAGUGAGACCCAGUAACACAGAGUGCACACACAGAGUGCUCAACCCAGUAACACAGAUGCACACACAGAUGGGGAGACCCAGUAACACAGAUGCACACACAGAGGAGAGACCCAGUAACACAGAUGCACACACAGAGGACAGACCCAGAAACACAGAGUGCACACACAGAGAGAGACCCAGUAACACAGCGUGCACACACAGAUGGGGAGACCCAGUAACACAGAGUGCACACACAGAGAGAGACCCAGUAACACAGUGCACACACAGAGGGGGAGACCCAGUAACACAGAUGCACACACAGAGGAGAGACCCAGAAACACAGAGUGCACACGCAGAGUGAGAGACCCAGUAACACAGAUGCACACGCAGAGGAGAGACCCAGUAACACAGAUGCACACACAGAGGACAGACCCAGUAACACAGAUGCACACACAGAGUGAGACCCAGUAACACAGAGUGCACACGCAGAGAGAGACCCAGUAACACAGAUGCACACACAGAGUGAGACCCAGUAACACAGAAUGCACACACAGAGAGAGACCCAGUAACACAGAGUGUACACACAGAGAGAGACCCAGUAACACAGAUGUACACACAGAGGAGAGACCCAGUAACACAGAUGCACAUGCAGAGGAGAGACCCAGUAACACAGAUGCACACACAGAUGGGGAGACCCAGUAACACAGAGUGCACACACAGAGGAGAGACCCAGUAACACAGAUGCACACGCAGAGGAGAGACCCAGUAACACAGAUGCACAUGCAGAGGAGAGACCCAGUAACACAGAUGCACAUGCAGAGGAGAGACCCAGAAACACAGAGUGUACACACAGAGAGAGACCCAGUAACACAGCGUGCACACACAGAUGGGGAGACCCAGUAACACAGAUGCACACGCAGAGAGAGACCCAGUAACACAGAUGCACACACAGAGGAGAGACCCAGUAACACAGAUGCCCACACAGAGAGAGACUCAGUAACACAGUGCACACACAGAGGGGGAGACCCAGUAACACACAGAGUGCCCGACCCAGUAACACAGAUGCACAUGCAGAGGAGAGACCCAGUAACACAGAUGCACAUGCAGAGGAGAGACCCAGAAACACAGAGUGCACACACAGAGAGAGACCCAGUAACACAGCGUGCACACACAGAUGGGGAGACCCAGUAACACAGAUGCACACGCAGAGAGAGACCCAGUAACACAGUGCACACACAGAGUGCUCGACCCAGUAACACAGAUGCACACACAGAGUGAGAGACCCAGUAACACAGAUGCACACACAGAGAGAGACCCAGUAACACAGAGUGUACACACAGAGAGAGACCCAGUAACACAGAUGCACACACAGAGGAGAGACCCAGUAACACAGAUGCACACACAGAGAGAGACUCAGUAACACAGUGCACACACAGAGGGGGAGACCCAGUAACACACAGAGUGCCCGACCCAGUAACACAGGGUGAAUAUACAGAGUUAGCGACCCAGACAGCUGAAUUCCUCGGCAUUUCUGCUCCGCCCGGUACUGCCCCGUUGUUGCAGCGUUUCCUUCUUUCCCCUGAGUGCAUGUUUUCUGGUAAUGUCGUUUCCCGCUCACCUGGAGAACCGAGUGACACUUGGUUUGUGGAGGUUGUGGUGACUAACUUUCUCAGAGGGUCCCAUUCUGCCUUCACACCCGACGGUCUUAUCCCCAGGUAUAUGCUUCGUGGGCGACAGCUCUUCUUGUGUCACUUUAAAAAUGACAUCUCGGCCCUCUCUGCUUUUGGACUUGUCCGUCCCUGCCUCCCCGGGCCAUCCUGGCUGCUUUGAGAUUUACUCUCUUCAGCGUUCUCAAGCUUGUUCAUGAUGUGCCUACAUAAGGCUUUUUUUAAAAUUUACACUCUUUGGGGUUCGCUGCGAUUUGUGAAUUUCUUCAUGUAUUUUGCCAAAAUUCAGGAGUUUUUCGGCAAUUAUUUCUUUAAACGUUGCAUUUUUUCUUUGUUUCUGAUCUCCUAUGACACAGCCUGUUGGGAUUUUAUUGUCCCAUGGAUGUGAUUUUUUCCCCCAGUUUUGUUCUGUCUUUUCCGUUGGAGACUUGUGAAUCUAUCUCCAGGUUUGCUAGUUUAAUUUCUUCACGGUCCAGAAACUUACUUGGUGAGUGUUCUCUUUUCGAGGUUGAGAGGGUUUGUCUCCCUCCAUAGCCGGCAUGUGGUUCUUGGUGGGUGCUGGAGCCAGGACGAACGCCUUAGAUCUAUGUUCCUCCCUUGCCAGUGUGUUGGAGCUGAGAACACAUCCCAAUCCCCUGUGCCCUUUCUCGAAGGCUCCUUGUCUGACUUAACCCUUCCCGGUGUUCUUGCUCACAAACAGUAUAACCCUGCCACAGCCGCUGAGCCUGCGAGACCCCUGCCUUGCAGCCCACCCACUCCUGUCUGUAAAACCCCAGCCUGUGAGGGAGGGGGCUGUCUACCUUCUCUGGCAGUGAGUCACUAUCUCAGGUUUGGAGUAGCCUGCACUGCCUGUGAGCUGGCGGUCUGUCACCUCUUCUUCUUGUUCCAUCUCCUCUUUGUUUUCCAUCUCAUUCUCAUGUCGGGCUACAUGCGCCCUUGAGACACAGGGGUCUUCUGCUGGCUUUGUGUGUGUGGGGGGGGUAUUAUCCCAGUGUCCGUCUGCUGUGUGUGUGUUUUACAUCCUCUGAUUUCCGUCUGCUUGUCCCAUCAGUUACUGAGCUGACGCACUCCCCAUGGAGUUUGUCAGCCCACUGUCUGCUCUCUGAAGGUUCUCUUAGCAUCGUCUCCAUACUCGUGUCCCCCGUGGCUCUGCUGACUCUGUCUUCCUGUGGCUUGGAGGUAUGUUCACCCUUGCCUCUCGCAAUGUGUUUGAGGUCUCUGCCAGUUGAUUAAUCAUUUUCCUUAUGAGUUAUGUGUUCCCAGAUCUUCUUACCCUAAGUCGCUUUAGAGUGUAUUCUGGACGUUUUGAAUACGAUGUGGUGAGAUCAUGGGUUCUUGGAAUCCUAAGAGACUGUUGGAAUCAGGUUUAGCAGGUAGCCCAGAGUUGGGUGGGUCUGGUCUUUCCCUCCCGUCCCCUCCCUCUCUCCCAUUUCUGGAGUGUCCACCAUGGGCUGUGCUGCAGUUGGGGUUUCAAAGCGACCGUGGUGCCCUUUGGGCCAGCUGCAUGUGCACACCACCCAGGACCCUUCCCGGGACUCAUUGCCAACACCUGGAGCUGACUGUGUGGGCUCUGGUUCCCUCUGCUCAGCUCCACAGAGAGACUGGGGGUUUCUGUGUGACUUUCUCAGGUGGCUCCCUUCAUCGCCCUCCUCUCUGACUCUGAUGUCUCCUCAGCACUGGACUAACUGGCGGAGGCCCAGAGGGGGACGAUAGGAACUGGCCCUGGGGUUUGGGGACCCCAGCUCCUAGGUCAGGGAGGUGGAUGUGCCUGAGCAGCCUUGGGGACCUUUGGGGGCCCUCUGCUGUGCUGCCUAUAGACUGGGCUGGGAGAGAAGGGAAGGGGAGUCUCUAGGGACCUCUCCUCCCGAACAUUUCUUGGCGCCUCUGCCCAUGCAUCAGCUCAGGAAGAGGGCUUCUCGGUGCCCCCCUUCCGGCAGCCGCCAUAGCUGCUUCUCAGUCCAGGCCACUCGGCUCCAGGGAAGGUGGCACUGGCUCCCUGCUCAGGAGCGCUGACUGCCCUGUCCCCUGGGUUCCCUGGCCUCGGGCUGCUUUCUGAGUCCCCAUGCGUUCUGUGACUUCGGCUGCCUUCUGGGGGAGAGACGGGGCGGGCCCUGCUUGCUCCGUCUCCUCCAAAAUUGGAGCUCACCAUUGGUUCAAACAGAAGCCGAUGCAUGUCACUCAUCUGCUUGAGACACUCGAACGGUGCCGCAUCACGCCGUGCAUCAAGUCAGCGUUUCCCGAAACCUCUCAUCAAUUUCGUGCCACGCCCUUUGCUUGUUCUAGCCUGUGAUCGCAGGAUUUCUGCGUGAAGCACUUGUUCUCCCUGGAACACGGCCCUUCCACACCUUUGCAUGAUUGCGUUCUUGUCAUCCGAGUCUCAGGUGCCUUUUCCCUGGGGAGGCCUCCUUGCUGUCAAACUGAAUUCAUUUUGUAAAGCCCUGGUUAGGUUUUCAGGAGCAUUUAGUUUUUUUGUUUUUCAAAUCUCGUAUCAUCCAAGUCUUGGGCCCUGCCGUACGUCACAACCAAGUUCUGCUCUAGUCAUUGCCAAGGCAACCAGAUUUGUGCAGGUGUAAUCCGAGAGCACCGUACCUCACCUCAGCCGUGCGGGGCCUCUCUGGCUUUCUGGAAUAUUCUAAAGGCCUUCUGUGGGGCUGCAGGACUGGGUGCCUGUGAGUAUCCACUCUGCACAGCACAGACAGGAAGUGGGAGGGAAUGGACCCCUCCCCCUGGCGAGGGCUUGAGCUGUGAGGGCAAGAGUUGGUGGAGAAGCUCCGCCUUCCGCUGUGUCUCAGUGCACAUUUCUGAGCUCCCCAGGGCUUCCCAGACCUGUCAGGUUGAGCCGUAGUAGUCACAGGGCAUCCGGCUGAGCAGUGCGAAAGGAGAGGUCCCAGGACUUGCUGCCCUCCUGCCAGGCUCUGCCCCUCCCGCCAUCUCUUCCUCAGGCCCCAGAGGAACCCUCACGCCAGAGCUUUGCAGACCCGGUUCUGGGGAGAGCCAGGUGCAGCCCCUGAUGCCAGGUGAAUUAGCACUUGACAUUGCGUGCACAUUUCACAGAGAAGACACAUAAAGGAAGAUCAAGGGGACAGGAGUCUGUCCACCACCCCACUUUGUCAGAUUGUAAUGUUUUGCGAUAUUGCAUUUGCUUCUGUUUUUUUUAAUUUAAAAAAAUAAAACUAUACUAUGAAAGCUCUUUGUGUUUCUCUUCCUUGCUAUGAAUAGGCAGUAAGCAAAUUUGAUGUGUAUAAGCGGUGCAGAUUAAUUUAAAAAUUAUUUGAUAAAUUUGAUGCAAAUUUUAUAUACCCAAGGUUAUUAACGCGAUAGGUGUCCGCGGGGAGGCACGUAGCUCUUGUGACUCCAUCUUCCCGUCUGCAUAGGUCCCAGGGCUGCCCUCCCGCUGAUGCACACUUAGUCAAAAGUAGCACUUUGCUUUUUACAAUAAGCAGUAUGGCAGUGAGCAUUUUUGGAUGUGUCCUUCUGCCAGACUCUGAGCUGAUCCAACAAAUGGAU